rnacentral:rRNA from 1 species
AUUGAACGCUGGCGGCAUGCCUUACACAUGCAGGUCGAACGGUAGCGGGCCUUCGGGUGCCGACGAGUGGCGAACGGGUGAGUAAUGUAUCGGAACGUACCUUUCAGUGGGGGAUAACGUAGCGAAAGUUACGCUAAUACCGCAUAUUCUGUGAGCAGGAAAGCAGGGGAUCGCAAGACCUUGCGCUGAUUGAGCGGCCGAUAUCAGAUUAGCUAGUUGGUGAGGUAAAGGCUCACCAAGGCGACGAUCUGUAGCGGGUCUGAGAGGAUGAUCCGCCACACUGGAACUGAGACACGGUCCAGACUCCUACGGGAGGCAGCAGUGGGGAAUUUUGGACAAUGGGGGCAACCCUGAUCCAGCCAUGCCGCGUGAGUGAAGAAGGCCUUCGGGUUGUAAAGCUCUUUCGGCCGGGAAGAAAUCGCACAGGCUAAUACCUUGUGUGGAUGACGGUACCGGAAUAAGAAGCACCGGCUAACUACGUGCCAGCCGCCGCCGUAAUAC